CCUACGGGUGGCAGCAGUAGGGAAUAUUGCACAAUGGGCGCAAGCCUGAUGCAGCAACGCCGCGUGCGCGAUGAAGGCCUUCGGGUCGUAAAGCGCUUUUCUGGAGGACGAGCGAGGACGGUACUCCAGGAAGAAGGAUCGGCUAACUACGUGCCAGCAGCCGCGGUAACACGUAGGAUCCGAGCGUUAUCCGAAUUUACUGGGCGUAAAGCGCGUGCAGGCGGUUUGGUAAGUUGGACGUGAAAUCUCCCGGCUCAACUGGGAGGGGUCGUUCAAGACU
rnacentral:rRNA from 1 species